AAAAAAUCUGCACAUUUUCCCUCCUUCCGGAGGCGACUGUGGCCAUACCGAGUGCUCUGAGUCACCGCUAAUGUCAGGUGAUGCUCAGGCCACUGGUUGGGUACUAGCUUUGAGAAGAAAGCACCUUCCUGUAUCCGCCUGCAGCUGGAACCCAUUGUCUGUCUGUCUGGUUGAACAGGAUUCAGUGCCCGCCUCCACUUCUAAGUCCUCAAGACGUCCUUUCUAGUCCAAAAUUGAAUCCUGCUCAUUUAAGGGAAUACAAAGCCCGUCUGCUCCAUCGUCUGGACUGCAUUUCAUCCUCCACUCUGCCACCAGAGUUACGUCCAAACAUAAGAAUCGGAUCCUGUCACAUCGCUGCUUAAAUUUUCCUACAGCUUCCUCCAGAAUUAGCAGGUCAGCCUGGCCUUUUUGCCUCUGGCCUCAGCUAUCUUUAAUCUCCUGCCUUGUCUCCCGUAUCUUCCAUCUCGCCCAGUUUUCUUCCAGAAGCCCUCUUACCCUGAGCCUGCUCCUUUCUCAGCCUGAAAGGUUCUUAUAACCCUACAGUCUGAAGACCUCUGACCACUUCCCAAGGGACUGAUAGUGCUCCUUCCAUAACCCCACAGUUCAUCACUUCUCAAAUCUUGAUGAACAUCCAGGUCACCUGAAGAUCUUGUUAAAAUGCAGGUGCAGGGGGUUAAGGCUGGGAUUACAGUUGCCCCCCAGGUCAUUCAAAUGCUGCCGGUCUGCAGCUUUGAGUAGUGAGACCUUAAAAGUUUUUCCCUACUGCUAGUAUAGCAACUAACACACACAAAUAUCCACCAUCAUCAGAUUAGACUGAGUUCCUUGAGGACAAGGGUUGUUUAGGAUGCAUCGUAUAUGGACUAGCAUAGCUCCUGAUAAUGUAGUAGGUAUUUAAUACAGUUUGUUCAGUAAACCAAUAUCUGAAGAUGUUUACAAUUCCUCAAGCAAACGUCUAUAUCAGUUCACUGUAAUCUAAGAGGGAACCCCAUUGUUCUUAAGGUCCCAUUGAAUUUUAACCUCUGCAUUUACACAUAAAUUUGCUGGAUAUUUUCAUUCCUCAUCCCACAGAGGGAGCAAGUUUUAACAUAAAGUCUCCAUUAAAUAUGAAAUGUGUAUAUUUCACUUCUCAUUUAGGAAACAUACUUAACAAUAUGUUGUUGCAUACUUAAUCUGUGAACAUGUAGGCACUUUCAUUUAAAACUGUUUAUGAGUGGCAGGGAAGUGUAAGUUAAACAUUAAUGUUAAUCAGUAGACUGGAAAAAGUGUUUUUGCAAGGCAGUAUAAUAACUCUGUCAGUAUAUAGUGUAGAAAAAACUUUCUAGUUUCUCCUCCGCCUCCCCACAAAUUCACCUGUUCUCUUGUUUAUGUCUAUAGCGUCUUUAAAAAAUAAUUUUAAUCAUAUAAUAAGAUGUGAAUAUAUUCUCAUUAUAAAAGAUCCAAACAACACAAUAAAGGAAAGUUCCUUGAGCA